rnacentral:sRNA from 1 species
UCCCGGUAGUCCUUCCCCGGAGCCACGAC